rnacentral:snoRNA from 1 species
AUGAGAUGAGGAUACCGAUGACGAGUCAGAUUCGAGUUAUUCGAUGUUGACACAUCUUUAUAAUACAUUCAUGCCUAAACUGAUC